CUUCCUCCAGCCAUGGUAAGCCUUUCCUGCAUGUCACUCCCGCAGUCUGCUCGCUGAUCUGCGGAAGACCUGGCUCAUUAAUCUACAGACGGGUGUGACCUACUGCAAUGGUGUAGACACCCAUCUGUAAGCUCACUGUAGGAUGGGGGGCACCAGCUGGCAAGGGAGAUCAGAUGUCAAAGGAAUUCCUCCCGGCACUGAAGCUCCUGAAAUACAGCUUGAGCUGUGUGCACUCUCCAAAAGUGGAGCAUUAUGCAAUCAAAUAUGUGCCUACACCGCAGUUCACAAACAGUGUGUGUGCUCAUGCAGGCCAGAUCCGCAGACUCUUUCCACUGACAACACGCUGUAAAAAUUAGGGGAAUAGAAGAGAGGCGGUGUUGACUUGCCCUAUCAAACUCCAGUCUGCGGAGCCUGUGGAGGCUUUUUACGUCACGAAUCAGUCAAAAGCCAUAAAAACUUUAGUGUUUGACAUUAGGGACCAUUUUCCCAUGUACGAUCCUGGAUACACAAAACUGGGUCAAGAUGUGGUGAGACUCUUCAAAAAAACCAGGCCAUGUUAGUUUGGCCCUAAGGAUGUUCUAGAUGUUCUCUCAAAUGACUGAUGCAAAAACAGAUGAUAAGUCAACUCCUGUUCCUAUUGGACGACAAGUUUGUGUUUUUGCCUGAGUUUGAGCGUCCUCUCACAUGAGCCAAGCCAACCGCUCACUCCCAGUGCAACUAAGGGACUAAUAGUAAUGGUAAACACAUGGCUGGAUCCGCUGGGACAUAGUGGCCCAUAUCACAGGAUACAGACUAGGCUUGUGUUCACUUUGAACAAUCACAGACAUUCAGUGCCUAACUGAAUCAGUCAACGGUUGCUCAAAACAGCCACGGCUGACCUCUCGUCGCUCUUCACUCCACAUUCAGAAACUUGGGUCCUGGACCUUUGCAGUCGAGAUGUGCCAGCACGUCAAGUGGUGGAUACCGUAUCCAUGGUGAUGGCAUUUACUUUUUCAUAAACAGCACUGCUCAUCUCAUCUCAACCCACUGAGGAUGGACAACACUGUCUUAUAUAAUCACCGGACGUCAAAUCAUUGCUUUAGACAUUGUGUUGUUCAGCACAAUCACUAGAUAUUACCUGAAAGCAGAUUUGCAGUGUUCAUCUGCAAACUGAUACCAUGCAAACACACAAUAACAGGAUUAUAAAGCAAGGAUAGUAAAUUCUCAGGAAUGAAAGGUAAUCCUCUUUGACUGGAACAAUAAGAGCACGUCACUAAUCCUGAUCAACAGACAUAUCAGCCAUAUGUAUGACCCACCUUUAGCCUGUUACAAUGCAGACAGCCAGGAGGGAAAAUCGGUUUGUAUCUGUAAAUAUGACAUGUAUCAACAUGUUGUGCAA